CGUUAGAAACCCGCACCCUCUUUUACAAUCCGUAAACAAAAAGUAUUCAGUUUUCUUUUCUUCAAUCAGUCGCAUCACGAAGCAAUAAAUAAAUGUAAUUCGUCAGAAUUUUCUGAAUAUUUUCUCAAUCUAUUCCACUUUGGUAGCAGUUUGUUCGUCGUAUUGUACAGACGGCACCAUGGGAGGCUUGAAGCCAUACUCCAUCUUGGACUGCCUAAAGCUACCGGUAUUUCCGAUCACUCCGUCCUGCCUAGUUCUCCUCAUGGUUGUUUGAAUAUCCGAAGUGUACUGUAUAGAUUUGGAUUGGAUACCAAUGGGCACCUUUCUUGGAACAGGACCCACGUAUUCAUCGUGGAUUUUAUCCUUCUCGACCCUCCCGUAAGACACUGUAUUACCACCAUUGUUUCCAUGCGAAUAGGAAUGGGAAUACUGGGAUCCAUACGAUCCGAACUUCUUCGGCAGCGAAGGUACCACCGGUUGCCUAGCUAAAGGGCGAUUCAGAGCGUAACCAAGACCGUAGAGUUGCGUCGAAUUAUUGUUGUAAUAACCCUGGUCCUCAUUGACGGACCCAUACGGGGGACCCGGUAGCGUUUGGAAACUUUGCUGUCUGAUCACCUGUUGGUAGUUCCCGUCGUUCUGAACGUUGUAGAUUGGGAUUGCCACGGAUUUCACGAACUUUGCAGCCUCUAUAGGAUACGGCCUUGCGACAUGCACCACUGGCUUUUCCACGACCUUUUCCACUGGAACUGGCACCGGUACAGGCUUCUCCACUACCUUCUCCACCGGAAUUGGAACCGGUUGCGGCACCCUGAAGUGGAUCGGGAAUGGAAUGAGCACCCUCUGGAUCGCGAUCGGCACCUUCUUCUCGAUCACUUUCUCCACGUGCACCGGUUCUCCCGCACUGGCAAUAAGGGGAAGCGUAAGCAACCAGAACAGCUGAGAAGACAAAUUUCAAUUUGCUCGGAUUUUUGGCACACAAUUUCCAUCUGAUUUAAUUCAGCAUUUUCCAUAUUUUAAUUCUGCAGUCUUAACAAGAUCGAACGAUGCGAAUUAAUUGGAUAAAGGAAAAAGAAGACGAUGUCUCGAGAGACUCACCAGAUGAAGUUUCAUGAUUAACAAUUCGGUGAACAGUAGUUCCUGCCCUCCCUAGUCCAGGAUGUAACUCCUCUAUUCUGUUGUGCGGUUGCCAAUCCUCUGGAACGUCGAUGCACGCACUCCGGAAAGAAACAGUGUACUACUUCGUCCCGGCGCGAUACACUUGACUUAACUGGUAGCUCCAGUUAUCCCCACGCAUCAAAGGAGUCCGAAGAGAGCUACAAUCGCCUUUAAAAGAUCCCUCGGACAGCAUCCGAUCCGAUCCGAUCCGAACCGCGAUCAGCACGAGCCCCCUUUGCUGGAUCUCCUUGCUGAAGAAAGCGCGGGAUACCGGAUUCGUUCGGACAAAUACCAACGGAACGACGCUCGGGCAACAUUAAUCAGCAAUUAUAGAACGAGAACACGUCACUCGAAUUUUACACGCAAUUUUCUUUUCUAUUUAUCAAGCGUUUCGGAUCUUCGUGGGUUCGUUUAGCUUUACGAGUACAAGGUUGCAAAUAUUAAUGCAACUAAACUUUGAGGAUAGAAUAAAUAGAAAUAUUA